GUGGGGAAUAUUGGACAAUGGGCGAAAGCCUGAUCCAGCCAUGCCGCGUGUGUGAAGAAGGUCUUCGGAUUGUAAAGCACUUUAAGUUGGGAGGAAGGGCAGUAAGUUAAUACCUUGCUGUUUUGACGUUACCGACAGAAUAAGCACCGGCUACUUCGUGCCAGCAGCCGCGGUAAUACGAAGGGUGCAAGCGUUAAUCGGAAUUACUGGGCGUAAAGCGCGCGUAGGUGGUUUGGUAAGUUGGAGGUGAAAUCCCCGGGCUCAACCUGGGAACUGCCUCCAAAACUGCAUGACUAGAGUACGGUAGAGGGUAGUGGAAUUUCCUGUGUAGCGGUGAAAUGCGUAGAUAUAGGAAGGAACACCAGUGGCGAAGGCGACUACCUGGACUGAUACUGACACUGAGGUGCGAAAGCGUGGGGAGCAAACAGGAUUAGAUACCCGUGUAGUCC
rnacentral:rRNA from 1 species